rnacentral:rRNA from 1 species
AUACGUAUGGGGCUAGCGUUGUUCGGAUUCACUGGGCGUAAAGGGCGUGUAGGCGGCUAUGCAAGUCGGAUGUGAAAUUUUCAGGCUUAACCUGAAAACUGCAUUCGAAACUGCGUAGCUAGAGUACCGGAGAGGGAGACGGAAUUCCUGGUGUAGGGGUGAAAUCUGUAGAUAUAAGGAAGAACACCGGUGGCGAAGGCGGUCUCCUGGCCGGAUACUGACGCUGAGGCGCGAAAGCUAGGGGAGCAAACAGGAUUAGAUACCCUAGUAGUCC